rnacentral:rRNA from 1 species
UGCAUAUCAAUAAGCGGUGGAAAAGAAACUAACAAGGAUUCCCCUAGUAACGGCGAGUGAAGCGGGAAGAGCUCAAAUUUGAAAUCUGGUGGCCUCAGGUCAUCCGAGUUGUAAUCUAUAGAAGUGUUUUCCGUGCUGGCUCAUGUACAAGUCCCUUGGAACAGGGCGUCAUAGAGGGUGAGAAUCCCGUCCUUGACAUGAACUACCAGUGCUCUGUGAUACAUUUUCAACGAGUCGAGUUGUUUGGGAAUGCAGCUCAAAAUGGGUGGUAAAUUCCAUCUAAAGCUAAAUAUUGGCGAGAGACCGAUAGCGAACAAGUACCGUGAGGGAAAGAUGAAAAGCACUUUGGAAAGAGAGUUAAACAGUAUGUGAAAUUGUUGAAAGGGAAACGAUUGAAGUCAGUCGUGCUCUUUGGAUUCAGCCGGUUCUGCCGGUGUACUUCCUUUGAGUGGGGUCAACAUCAGUUUUGAUCGCUGGAUAAAGGCUGGAGGAACGUAGUACCCUCGGGUAAACUUAUAGCCUCCUGUCACAUACAGUGGUUGGGAGUGAGGAACGCAGCACGCCUUUAUGGCCGGGAUUCG